rnacentral:rRNA from 1 species
UACGGGGGGGGUAAGCGUUGUUCGGAAUUACUGGGCGUAAAGGGCUCGUAGGCGGCCAACUAAGUCGGACGUGAAAUCCCUCAGCUUAACUGGGGAACUGCGUCUGAUACUGGAUGGCUUGGAUUUGGGAGAGGGAUGCGGAAUUCCAGGUGUAGCGGUGAAAUGCGUAGAUAUCUGGAGGAGCACCGGUGGCGAAGGCGGCAUCCUGGACCAACAUUGACGCUGAGGAGCGAAAGCCAGGGGAGCAAACGGG